rnacentral:rRNA from 14 species
GGGAUGAACCUAAUGCGGGGUUAAGGUGCUUAAUUACUUGCUCAUUUGAUACCAGAAAGGGUGUUGGUUCAUUUUAGAA